UGCCCAGCAACUCCUAUCCCUAACUCCUCGCGGUACCGGCCGGAAACUGUUUGAUCCCCAUGUUAGGGGCGGCUGAUCUACGUCCGAGUGACAGGGAAGG
rnacentral:ribozyme from 1 species